GUCAAUGACAAUAUACCUGUGGUGGAAUACGGAACGUACGAGGGGGUAGUGGAAGAAAACCAGGUCAAUGUAGAAGUCAUGCGGAUCAAAGUGACCGACGCGGAUGAAGUGGGCUCGGAUAACUGGCUAGCAAACUUUACGUUCGCAUCAGGAAAUGAAGGGGGCUAUUUCCACAUCGAGACUGACACACAGACUAACGAAGGCAUCGUGACCCUUGUCAAGGAAUUGGACUAUGAAGAAAUGAAGAAGCUGGACUUGAGCAUCCUUGUCACGAACAAAGCAGCUUUCCACAAGUCCGUUGUGAGCAAGUACAAGGCCACGCCCAUUCCCAUCACUGUCAAGGUCA
rnacentral:lncRNA from 1 species